GUUUUAUCCAACCUCAGGUCCCCUGCUGCCAUCCUCUGCCGAUAUGGUCCACCAGAGCGGAGAACAAAGUCCCUCGACAAGGUGACCAGCUCCUGAGCCGGGGCAGCCGCAUCCUCUGGAGAUCGGAGGUACCACCCCACUGACAGCCCUCUGAAGUGAGCGACGGUUGUCAUCCCUCAAGCUGGCCUUUUAAGUCCAGUCACACAGGGAUAGAAGUGUGGGGGACACAAGGACACAAAAAUGGAGGAAAGGAGAUUUUGUAAAGACGACACAAGAAGAGAAGAAGAUAAUUUAUGAAGACUGAUCUGUGCAUUUUGCAUGCACUCAAACUUUUAACAUCUCUCUGCAGCAUGUGAGAUGGCUAUUGAAGUUAAACAAGCAGAAAAAAACAGAGAAGUAACAGGAAAGAGCAGUUUGCUUGUGUGUUCAGUGCUUUCACAUGUGAAUGUUUGUGGGAACGUGGCUUUUAAAGAUGGGACACAGCGGACAGAGAAGAUCUAACCACCCGACACUCUGUGCUCUCUGUUGCGGUCUUGUCAUAGGAGAAGAUGAUUACAUGAGGAACUGGAGAAAUUCACUGUGCCCUCUGGAUGUUACCACUGUUACAAAUGUUCUCGCUCGCACAAGCAUGCAUUCUCCUCUUUCAGCAACAAAAACAACACAUGCAUGCACCCACACAGAUGUCAAUUCAUUGUCUCUAUCUGCAUUUGUUUGAACAUGCAUGUGUGUUUAUGACCCUAUUAAAAUGCGUGAGUGUUAAGUGUA